rnacentral:rRNA from 1 species
CUAAGCGUACACGGUGGAUGCCCUGGCAGUCAGAGGCGAUGAAGGGCGUACUAAUCUGCGAUAAGCGCCGGUAAGGUGAUAUGAACCGUUAUAACCGGCGAUACCCGAAUGGGGAAACCCAGUGUGAUUCGUCACACUAUCAUUAACUGAAUCCAUAGGUUAAUGAGGCGAACCGGGGGAACUGAAACAUCUAAGUACCCCGAGGAAAAGAAAUCAACCGAGAUUCCCCCAGUAGCGGCGAGCGAACGGGGAGGAGCCCAGAGCCUGAAUCAGCAUGUGUGUUAGUGGAAGCGUCUGGAAAGGCGCGCGAUACAGGGUGACAGCCCCGUACACAAAAGCGCAUGUGCUGUGAGCUCGAUGAGUAGGGCGGGACACGUGGUAUCCUGUCUGAAUAUGGGGGGACCAUCCUCCAAGGCUAAAUACUCCUGACUGACCGAUAGUGAACCAGUACCGUGAGGGAAAGGCGAAAAGAACCCCGGCGAGGGGAGUGAAAAAGAACCUGAAACCGU